rnacentral:rRNA from 1 species
GGGACCAUCCUCCAAGCCUAAAUACUACCUAGUGACCGAUAGCGCAUAGUACCGUGAGGGAAAGGUGAAAAGAACCCCGGGAGGGGAGUGAAAGAGAACCUGAAACCCUGCACUUACAAGCUGUAGGAGCACAUUUCUUGUGUGACUGCGUACUUUUUGUAGAACGGGCCAACGAGUUACGUUGUGUAGCAAGGUUAAGCACUUAAGGUGUGGAGCCGUAGCGAAAGCGAGUCUUAAAUGGGCGUCCAGUUACCCGACGUAGACCCGAAACCAGGCGACCUAUCCAUGAGCAGGUUGAAGCGAAAGUAAAAUUUCGUGGAGGACCGAACCCACGUACGUUGAAAAGUGCGGGGAUGACUUGUGGAUAGCGGUGAAAUUCCAAUCGAGCCUGGAGAUAGCUGGUUCUCCCCGAAAUAGCUUUAGGGCUAGCCUCAAGCUUAGAGAAACGGAGGUAGAGCACUGAAUGUCCUAGGGGGUAUUGCACUUACCGAAGACUAUCAAACUCCGAAUGCCGUAUUCUUUUGCUUGGGAGUCAGACUAUGGGUGAUAAGAUUCAUAGUCAAGAGGGCAACAGCCCAGAUCGUCAGCUAAGGUCCCUAAAUGUAAGUUAAGUGGUAAAGGAUGUGGAAUUGCACAGACAACCAGGAUGUUGGCUUAGAAGCAGCCACUCAUUUAAAGAGUGCGUAAUAGCUCACUGGUCGAGUGAUUCUGCGCCGAAAAUUUCCGGGGCUAAAACUUACUACCGAAGCUACGGCAUCAUUAUGAUGGGUAGGGGAGCUUUCUAUACGGGUUGAAGCAUGACCGUAAGGACAUGUGGACUGUAUAGAAGUGAGAAUGUUGGCAUGAGUAGCGAGAUGUGGGUGAGAAUCCCACAGGCCGUAAACCCAAGGUUUCCAGGGGAAGGUUCGUCCGCCCUGGGUUAGUCAGGACCUAAGCCGAGGCCGAAAGGCGUAGGUGAUGGACAACAGGUUGAUAUUCCUGUACCACCAAUAACCGUUUGAGAAAUGGGAUGACACAGUAGGAUAAGCUAACCGCACUGUUGGUUAUGUGCGGGCAAGUAUUGAGGCAGUUCCGAUAGGCAAAUCCGUCGGAAUAAUGCUGGGGUACGAUGCGGAGCGAAAUUAAGUAGCGAAGUAGCUGAUUUCACACUGUCGAGAAAAGUCUCUAUCGAGGUUAAAGGUGCCUGUACCGCAAACCGACACAGGUGGGUGAGGAGAGUAUCCUAAGGCCAGCGAGAGAACUGUUGUUAAGGAACUCGGCAAAAUGACCCCGUAACUUAGGGAGAAGGGGUGCCUUCGAAAGAAGGCCGCAGAGAAUAGGCCCAAGCGACUGUUUACCAAAAACAUAGGUUUCUGCUAAGUCGCAAGACGAUGUAUAGGAGCUGACGCCUGCCCGGUGCUGGAAGGUUAAGGGGAUCUGUUAGAGCAAUCGAAGCAGUGAACUUAAGCCCCAGUAAACGGCGGCCGUAACUAUAACGGUCCUAAGGUAGCGAAAUUCCUUGUCGGGUAAGUUCCGACCC